rnacentral:rRNA from 1 species
UACGGAGGGAGCUAGCGUUGUUCGGAAUUACUGGGCGUAAAGCGCGCGUAGGCGGCUUUGUAAGUUAGAGGUGAAAGCCCGGGGCUCAACCGCGGAAUUGCCUUUAAGACUGCAUCGCUUGAAUCCGGGAGAGGUGAGUGGAAUUCCGAGUGUAGAGGUGAAAUUCGUAGAUAUUCGGAAGAACACCAGUGGCGAAGGCGGCUCACUGGACCGGCAUUGACGCUGAGGUGCGAAAGCGUGGGGAGCAAACAGG